UUUUAAAAUGCGAGAAAAAUAGAUUAACAGAUAUUAUAUUAUUCGUUUUGUAGUUUUCAAACUGAAAAUUAAGAAUUUUUUUUAUUCUAUAAUAUAGAUAAUAAAGAAAAAGAAAAAUAGAAUUGGAAGAGGUUUUCUCUCCUUUUUCUAGAGAGAAAAUUCUCUCUAUUCUCUUUCCUUCUUCACAAUACAAAAUCUUUCGGAAGGGUAGAGAAAUCGUUUUGUUCUUUUGUUGUAAUAUAGUUUCGAUCUUAGGAUCGAUGUUUUCUUCCGAUUAGCGGAUUCUAAAUUUCGCGUUAAACCAAAUUUGGAUCUGUCUUCAUGUUCUUCAAUCUUAUUUUCCAGUUUUAGUUUGAAAUUUAAUAAAUUCUGAUCAUGUUUUCGGCUUGUCCGUUAGUAUAUAUUCGCUUGGCGACUUUUGUUUUGCUCUGAAUAAACUACUACGAUCUUUGUGAUUAGAGUUUUUUAGUUAUAAUGAUCCUCCUCUUCUGCAAAUCCUUUGAAUCCUGUUUUGCUUGGAUCAAGACUUCUUCUUCAAAGGUUAUACACGGACUCCUUCUAGACAAGAAUCAAUACUUACUCAUCCAUAAAUAUGGAUUCGAUAGCACCAAAGAGUAAAGUAUCUUCGAUGGAAGUAAGAUGUGUUGUGAAAUAUUUCGGCUGAUUUAGGAGAGAUCAGUAGAGUUAGCAUCCUUUGAACAAGGAUGGUCUAACGAAGAUUCUGUAAACAAUAACAAGUCUAGAAGACAACAGUGAUAAGAGAUGAACAAAUGGCACCGUACUGUCCUUGGAGUUGCUUUCUGCUUUGUCUCUAGCGUUUAUGACUGUUGCUUUGUUGUUCUGUUGAGUGGGUUUCGAAUGCUUCUGGGCCUCAAGCCCAUUGUCGCUAAUAUCCCCUCGCAAACUCGAGGUGGGAGGACGUUCCACACCGAGUUUGACCUUAGGUCCUUGAAGUUGUGUAUCGGUAGAGAUUUGGUAAAGAUAUCAGCUAUUUGAUGUGUUGCAGGUAUAUGCUUGACAACUGAUGAUCUUUUUGCCACUCUCUCCCGCGCAUAGUGGUAAUGUGUCUCAAAAUGUUUUGUUCUCUUGUGCAGAAUCGGAUUUGUGGUGAGGUGCACUGCAGAGAGAUUGUCACAGUAGACUUCAGCUGGCCUGAUAUGCCUUAGACCCAUCUCUGCCAAAACUGCAUCUAUCCAAGACAAUUCUACAGCCGUAUCAGAGAGUGUCCUAUACGCAGCCUCAGUUGAAGAACGAGCAACCGAGUCUUGUUUUUUUGCUGACCAUGAGAUGAUAUUCGCACCAAGAAACGUACUGAAGCCACCAGUGGAUUGUCUAGUAGUGUUGCACCCAGCCCAGUCGCUGUCACAGUAGGCUCGUAGAGUUGAAUCAGUAUCAUACUGUAGAGUAAGGCCCAUGUUGAUCGUUCCUUUCAGAUACCUCAAUAUACGCUUCAAAAGCUGAAAAUCAUAGACUGUGGGCUGAUGCAUCUUUUGACACACAUAGUUCACUGCAAAUUGAAGAUCAGGGCGCGUCAGAGUUAAGUAUUGAAGUUUGCCGGCGAGACUCCGGAAGUAUGUUGGUUCCGAGAACAAUUCAUCCUGAUGUGGAACUCAAUUCAACUGAAUAGGGAGAGGGGUUGGCAUUGGCGAACAGUCAAGCAUGGCCGCCGAUUGUAGAAGAUCCAUAGCGUACUUUUCUUGGUUGAGGAAUAGACCUGACGAAGUAGUGGUUGCUUGGAUUCCAAGGAAAUAACUGAGAGGUCCCAUAUCUUUUACUCUGAAUCUUGUACCAAGCAGACCCACAAACUCUGCGACAAAGGAUUUGUUGUUCCCUGUUAGAGUCAUAUCAUCAACAUAUAAGAGAAGGAGCAUCAUGUUCUUUCCAUCUGAGUAAAUGAACAGAGAAGGAUCUCGCGUACAACACUUGAAACCAAACUCAAUCAGAUAUGAGCUAAGUUUAUCAAACCACGCCCGGGGAACCUGUUUCAGACUGUAAAUUACCUUUUUCAGCUUACACACAUAGCCAGGAUGAUCCUUGCUUUCGACCCACCCCGGUGGCUGUCGCAUGAAAAUUGUUUCUUGAAGGUCCCCGUGUAAGAAAGCGUUCUUGACAUCAAGUUGCUUGAUCUCCCACUUUGAGAUCACAUCUAAAUGAAACACCAACCGCACCAUUGCAGUGCGAACCACAUGACUAUAUGUCUCCCAAAAACCAAUGUCUUCUUCUUGCUCAUUCCCUUUUGCUACAAUCUCGCUCUCAGACACUUAACUGUGCCAUCCGCAUUUAGUUUGACUUUGUAGAUCCAUCUACAGCCAAGUAAGUGAACAUCUUGUGGGCGUGGAACUAGAAUCCAUGUCUCAGUUUCUUCGCAAGUACCUAUCUCUUUUCCCAUCGCAGCAUGCCAACCCUCAUGCGCAAGUGCUUCUGCGACAGUCCUUGGCUCUGUUAGAGCCCCUUUCACUGUGACCAUCACAUAUCUUGGAUUUGGUUUUGAAAUGCCUGUCUUUCUUCUCCUAAUCAUCGGGUGAGUGGUCUUAGUUAUUUGCUCUAGUUGAGAAGAUGUAGGCAUGACAGUCAUGUCUUCUUCUGAAGUUGAGUCGGAAUGAUCUUCCUCGUGCUGCAUGCUUGUAUCACCCGAGAAUUGUUGAGUUGGCGAAGCAGGCAUGGGGAUGGUAUAGACAUCUAAUUUAGCGAUGUGUUUUGUAGGAAUCUCUUCUUCUUCUCUUGCCUUCUUCUCAGAGGAGAUUCUCAAGUCCUCUUGCUCACCAGACCGCUUACACCAGGCUUGUAGCAGAGGAGUUUCAGCCUGUGGAAUGUAGCGUUUGUACACGUCCGCAAAAGGAAAAUUUUCCUCAUGGAAGACCAUGUGCCUGCUAAGAUACACUCUUCCUGUGGGAGGGUAGAGAUACUGGUACCCCUUGUAUUGUUCAGAGUAUCCUAAGAACACACACAUAAGUGACUUAGGAUCAAACUUAUGGUGAGAAUAAGGCUUCAGAUAAGGGUAGCAGGCACAUCCCAGCACUCGGAGAGAAGAGUAAUCAGGGGCUCUUCCACGAAUCUGUUCAUAAGGACUCAUUGCUUUGUUAUGAACAGAACUUGGAAGCAGAUUGAUAAUAAAAUUUGUAGUGAGGAAAGCACCAACCCAGAGUGUUGGAGGUAGAUGUCCUUGAAACAUCAUAGACAUUUUGAGCUCUGUGAUGUGACGAUGUUUUCUUUCUGCUAACCCGUUCUGUUCAGGUGUGUGAGGGCAAGAUAAGUAAUGUUUGAUCCCACACUUCAUCAGAUGACUCGAGAAUUCUUGAUUCACAAACUCUCCUCCAGCAUCACUUUGAAAAAUACCAAUUCUUUGAUUAAACCAGUUUUCAGACUGUUGUUGAAAGAUUUUGAACUUAGACAACACAUAUGACUUUAACUUCAAAGGAUAAAGCCAACUGAAUCUUGAGAAGUUAUCAAUAAAGACCACAUAAUAUCUGAAACCUUGACCUGACACUAUAGGAGCAGGACACCAUACAUCACAAUGGAUCCUCUCUAGAGGUCAAGAAGCAUGAAAAACAGACUCAACAAAAGGAAGCUUAGAUGAUUUUCCUAAACGACAUGCUUCACACACAGACUGAAGACUCUUAUUGAUGGUGAUUUCCUUUAUUGAAGAUAGAUGCUGAACGAUUUGGUAAUGAGCAUGCCCCAAACUCCUAUGCCAAACCUGAUCAGACACCAGUCUUUGUCUUGAGGAGUAGAAGGCUUGAAAUAGAGGAUUGCUCAACAGGUACAGACCGUUAGUUUUGUUUCUCUGACUAAGGACCUGCUUGGUGGUUUUGUCCUUAACAAACACAUGAGUAGAGUCAAAUGUGAAUUCACAAGAAGGAUAGUCAUCAGUAAAUUUAGACACUGAUAGUAAAGAUUUAGUUAUAUCGGGGCAUACUAACACAUCAUUGAGAUCCAGUUUACCUGCAGCCGAGGGAAGUGGUAUUGAACCGAUGUGCGUAAUGGGCAAGAAGUCUCCAUUCCCGACAAUCACUGAAUCAGAACCUUCAUACGGGAGGGCAGAGAAGAGGUGGUGUGGAUCGUUGGUCACAUGUUGAGUGGCAGCAGUAUCCGUGUACCAGCUUGGACCAGAACCUCCUGCACCAUCAGACAAUCGCAUAGUAGCCAGAGCAUCCUUCAUUGCCUCCACAUUGUACGUCUGAUCAAACCGCUUGAAACACUUGAAAGCUGGAUGAUCAUACUUUCCACAAAUCUGGCAAGUUGGUCUAUGAUCAUUAUCAGAAGUUGUUCCUCUUCCUGCUUGUUGUCCAAACUGCUGAGGAAAACCUCUUCCUGCAGUCGUGUAUGAGCCUCUGCCUCUGUACCCCCCUCGGUAUUGUCCUCUGCUACGACCAAAGUAUCCUCCCCGGUUAGUGUAGAAAGGUUGGUGUUGAGUAGCUUCUGGUGCUGUCUCAUACUUCUGCAGCUUGUCUUCAAAACCAGUAAGCUUGAACAUCACAUCAUCAAGACUAGGACCAGGGAGAGUGUCCAUUGAGUCUUCUAUCACAGUUACAAUGGCCUCAUAUUCACAUCCCAAACCAUUAAGUACUCCAAAAAAUUCCUCUUGUUCAGAAAUAAGAGCUCCAAUGGAGUCAAGUUGAUCAGACAGAGACUUGAUUUCAGACAAAUACUGAGAGAGAGACUUGGAACCUUUUGUGGUGGUCUGAAUGCGUCGCUACAUGUCAAGGCGUCCAGUAGCAGAGACUCUGUUAUACUUCUUCGCCAGAGCAUACCAGAUCUCUUGAGAUGAGUGAAGACCAUACACGCACUUCAGGGCUUCUUCAGAGAGGGAACCAAUCAACCAAGCCAUUAUGAGAUGAUCUGUAUGAACCCACUUGAGGAAGUCAGGGUUACUUGCUUCUGUAGUUUGGUCUCCAUUGUGCACCAUGAGUGUUGGUGGAGGUCGUGGUAAGGCUCCAGUGACAUAACCUAACACGAGCUGACUAUUAAGAAACUGCUCAAACUGCAACUUCCAAGACAGAUAGUUUGUGUCGCUGAGCUUCAGCGUCACCACUUGAGUGAUUGAGAGAAUGGCCGGAGUAAAGACGUCGGAAGGUGUUGGAGCCGCCAUGGUUCUGAUACCAUGUAAACAAUAACAAGUCUAGAAGACAACAGUGAUAAGAGACAAAAGGUUUUCUAUAACUUUAUACUUUUAUUCAUUUUUUUCUUUAGGAUAUACAUUAUGUCUCUUUUAUACUAGACUGCACACAGCUAGACCUAAAAGAAUAUAUUCUGGAUAUUCUCCUACAGCUGUUCAACUUUAUCUCCAAGCACUGAAAACUUGUUCCUUGUCUUGAUUGCAGGCACCAUACUGUCCUUGGAGUUGCUUUCUGCUUUGUCUCUGGCGUUUAUGACCGUUGCUUUGUUGUUCUGUUGAGUGGGUUUCGAAUGCUUAUGGGCCUCAAGCCCAUUGUCGCUAAUAGAUUCUACUCUUUUGGAUUUUUUCUUGCUUUAUCAACCAGAGCGGAUAGAAGCUUUGAUCUAAAGUAGCAGUUAUGGUGGAAGAUCAGAGAUGAAUGAGUACAAGGACAGAGGGUAGCAGCUGAGUGGUGAAGCACAUGUUGGAAGAUGCGGUGGUUUGAAGAUGAGAACUACCGGCAGCGACUCUAUGGUUAAUCUCGAUUUGCAUGUAUUACUUUUGCCACCUAGCUUAAUGUUCUUUAUUCUAUUUACACGAGUAUCUGUGUUUGUACCACGUGAUGAGCAAAAAAUUGUACUCUUUGUAAUCGAAUCAAAAAUGUUGAAUUAAAAAAAAGAUAAUAAAGAAUAUAUUAUUCGUUUACCACCAAA